rnacentral:rRNA from 1 species
AGAGUUUGAUCCUGGCUCAGAUUGAACGCUGGCGGCAUGCUUUACACAUGCAAGUCGAACGGCAGCGCGUUUCGGGUAAAACUGGAAUGGCGGCGAGUGGCGGACGGGUGAGUAAUACAUCGGAACGUGCCCAGUUGAGGGGGAUAACCUAGCGAAAGUUAGGCUAAUACCGCAUAAGCUUGGGAAAGGAAAGCAGGGGAUCUUCGGACCUUGCGCAAUUGGAGCGGCCGAUGACCGAUUAGCUAGUUGGUGGGGUAAUGGCCUACCAAGGCAACGAUCGGUAGCUGGUCUGAGAGGAUGAUCAGCCACACUGGGAAUGAGAGACGGCCCAGACUCCUACGGGAGGCAGCAGUGGGGAAUUUUGGACAAUGGGCGAAAGCCUGAUCCAGCAAUGUCGCGUGGGUGAAGAAGGCCUUCGGGUUGUAAAGCCCUUUCGGUAGGGAAGAAAAGGUUACGGUAAACAAUCGUAAUCUGAUGACGGUACCUACAGAAGAAGCACCGGCAAACUACGUGCCAGCAGCCGCGGUAACACGUAGGGUGCGAGCGUUAAUCGGAAUUACUGGGCGUAAAGAGUGCGCAGGCGGAUCAGUAAGUCGAGUGUGAAAUCCCUGGGCUCAACCUAGGAACUGCAUUCGAAACUAUUGAUGUAGAGUACGGCAGAGGGAGGUGGAAUUCCAUGUGUAGCAGUGAAAUGCGUAGAGAUGUGGAGGAACACCGAUGGCGAAGGCAGCCUCCUGGGCCAGUACUGACGCUCAUGCACGAAAGCGUGGGUAGCAAACAGAAAAAGAUACCCUGGUAGUCCACGCC